ACAGCUUCUGCUCUGCUGUAGGGUAGGAUGUGGGGUCUGGAUGGACUUCUGGAGCCAGUUGUAGAGCAGAAGCAAGAGAGGGGAGAGUCGAGGGCUGGGAGAUGGACCCCAGCAGAGGGAGGGGGUGAGGCCGACCGACCCCAGAAUCCACUUCCCCGCUGCAUGGGGCCGGGGCGAGGGGGCGAUUGCCGGCAGGAAAGGCGUCACUGUGUACACGCAGAUGGGCACACAGGAGUCGGGCUGGCAGCAUCUGGGGGUGGGCCGCCUGUGAUCAGGGGAGGAGCACGGUUGCGCUCCAGAGCCCCGGUCCUGGGUUCGGCUCUCAGCUCUGGUGUCUGGACAAGUGCCUGAACCACGCUGGGCUCAGGCCCCUCCCUUUCCAGAGCCCUGAAGUGCUGGGCAAACAGGAGGCGCUCCAGGGUGAAAGGAAGUUGUCUCAAAAACAAAAGAAAAAUCAGGUACAAUUUCACCAUCUCACUUCAUGGAACCAACUCUAAUGGGCACGGAUUCCAAACACAGUCAAGCCUUGGUUACCUGGAACACGCUGGCAAAUGGCCCCUUCUGUUUAGAAGACUUUUCUAAGCAUGCUACUCAACCCAAAAGGCAUAAGGAAAAGACCAGAGCAGAGGCCAGACCUCCGUCCCUGACCUCAGGGCCAGACUUUUCUGAACCCAGAGGAUCAAGAGGAUUUCAUCCUUAUCACUGGGGGAACAGAGCAGGUGGGCACCACUUGUCCAUGCUCUGCACUGGCCUUUGGAUGUUAUAAGUGAGAAGUGCUUCAGUAGCCAGGCGGCUCAGCUGGCCCCAAGCCCUGGCAGCUGGUCAGCAAGAGCCAGAGGCAGCUUCUUUU